ACCAAGGCGACGAUCGGUAGCCGGACUGAGAGGUUGAACGGCCACAUUGGGACUGAGUCACGGCCCAGACUCCUACGGGAGGCAGCAGUGGGGAAUAUUGCACAAUGGGGGAAACCCUGAUGCAGCGACGCCGCGUGGAGGAAGAAGGUCUUCGGAUUGUAAACUCCUGUUGUUGGGGAAGAUAAUGACGGUACCCAACAAGGAAGUGACGGCUAACUACGUGCCAGCAGCCGCGGUAAAACGUAGGUCACAAGCGUUGUCCGGAAUUACUGGGUGUAAAGGGAGCGCAGGCGGGAAGACAAGUUGGAAGUGAAAUCUAUGGGCUCAACCCAUAAACUGCUUUCAAAACUGUUUUUCUUGAGUAGUGCAGAGGUAGGCGGAAUUCCCGGUGUAGCGGUGGAAUGCGUAGAUAUCGGGAGGAACACCAGUGGCGAAGGCGGCCUACUGGGCACCAACUGACGCUGAGGCUCGAAAGUGUGGGUAGCAAACAGGAUUAGAUACCCUGGUAGUCCACACCGUAAACGAUGAUUACUAGGUGUUGGAGGAUUGACCCCUUCAGUGCCGCAGUUAACACAAUAAGUAAUCCACCUGGGGAGUACGACCGCAAGGUUGAGACUCAAAGGAAUUGACGGGGGCCCGCACAAGCAGUGGAGUAUGUGGUUUAAUUCGACGCAACGCGAAGAACCUUACCAAGUCUUGACAUCCCUUGACAGACAUAGAAAUAUGUAAUCUCUUCGGAGCAAGGAGACAGGUGGUGCAUGGUUGUCGUCAGCUCGUGUCGUGAGAUGUUGGGUUAAGUCCCGCAACGAGCGCAACCCUUAUGGUCAGUUACUACGCAAGAGGACUCUGGCCAGACUGCCGUUGACAAAACGGAGGAAGGUGGGGAUGACGUCAAAUCACCAUGCCCUUUAUGACUUGGGCUACACACGUACUACAAUGGCGUUAAACAAAGAGAAGCAAGACCGCGAGGUGGAGCAAAACUCAGAAACAACGUCCCAGUUCGGACUGCAGGCUGCAACUCGCCUGCACGAAGUCGGAAUUGCUAGUAAUCGUGGAUCAGCAUGCCACGGUGAAUACGUUCCCGGGCCUUGUACACACCGCCCGUCACACCAUGAGAGCCGGGGGGACCCGAAGUCGGUAGUCUAACCGCAAGGAGGACGCCGCCGAAGGUAAAACUGGUGAUUGGGGUGAAGUCGUAACAAGGUAG
rnacentral:rRNA from 1 species